GAGUCAUCUCCCGAGUUGGUCCAUGAUCUCAGAUGACUUCCUCUAAACUGGAGCCUGCUUGGGUCCCCACUUCUACUUUUCUGGGACCCAGGGAUCCCCAGCAGGCCCAGAUCAUGAGAGCCCAUGCAAGACCCACAGGGCUCAGGCCCAGGGCUCCCAGAGCCACCUCCUGUCGCCUCCCUCAUCUGUGGAGAGAGGAAUUCGCUGCCUCGCCACACGGACGCCCUUUGUCCGACAGUGCUGAGCCGGCCAGUUAGAGCCCAGGGCUUAUUUCCAACACAACUUUCCUCAGCUGCAAGGGCUGGCUGAAGGGACCUGCACAUUUGGAGACUGUUAGCCUUGCAUGUGGGUUUCCAGGGGCUGCUACAACAAAUUCCCACAAACUGAGGGCUUAAAACUAUAAAAGUGUUUCCUGAGCCCGGGUGCUGGAAGUCUGAGAUCAAGCUGUCAGCAGGGCCUUGUUCCCGGCAAAGCGUCUUGGGGAGAAUCUGCCCCAGGCCAUUCUCCCAGCUUCUGGGGGCUGCCAGCCAUCCCUGACACCCUUUGGCCUGCAGACACAUCACUCCAGUCUUUGCCUCUGUUAUCACAUGGUCUUCCCCUGGAUGUCUUCAUGUUUGUAUGUCCCAAAGGCCUCUUCUCAUAAGGACACCAAUCACUGGACUUAGGGCCUCAACCUGAUUACAUCUACAAAGACAGUCUUUGUAGAUAUGGCCGCGUCCACAGGGGCUGCGGCCUAGGACUUGCACACAUCUUUGGAAGGGACAGGAUCCAACCCGCAGCACUGUGAGUUCAUCAUUCACAACUGACCUCCACCAGAGUGAGACUAAGUGGAACCAAAGCUGAGGCCAAAAGAAGAAAAAUAUGCUGUUUCCUGACAGUUUUCGAGUAGCACUGACUGGCCUAAGAGCGUGGACAACACCAAGCAUGACAUACGCACGCAGAAAGUUACAGUUCUCAAAAGCACAACUGCAUCUAAUGAGAUAUAACCAGGAUACAAAUGUCUUUCUAGUAUUUCAUUUUUUGCUGUCAAUCCAGUUCAAACUCCAAGAUACCACUGAAUGAAGGAUUCUCAACUCAACACUAAAGAGCAAAUCAAGAUUUCCAUUAAAAAAAGAAAAACUGCAUGUUCCCAGGCUUUUAUCCAUUUGUAUACCUAUAAGAAGCAGCUGCAACUUUGCAUACAAGUGAUUUCUUUUUACAUAAAUAAAAUGUUUUUGCCAUUUUUAGUCACUGAAGCAUUAAAAAAAAAUAAAGUGGAAGCUGUUGAAAGGAUAAGCUUU
rnacentral:lncRNA from 1 species